GAGAUAGAAAGUUUGUUUAUAUAACCAAUUCUGUGAUAGAAAAAUGUUCAAAGUAUUAUAAAUAAAGGAGGAUAGGUGUUCGGUGUUUAUAUUUGUUAUUGUGUUCAGAUAGUAUUAUGAUAAACAUAUUUUCAUGUUUCUGCAUUCCAAAGGUUGUAUAACAAGUAACGGACAAAAAAAGUCCAAAAGCGCAUGGAGGCUUCAAUUAUUAUUAAGUCUUGAAAUAUGAUAAAGAAUCAAACUUGAAAUAAGUUAAAAGUUUUUUUUCUGCUGUGAAGGAUUAUUAUAUUUUACUGAUUUAGAUAAAACCAUUUAUUACAUUGAUUGCAAUGAAUUACAUUGAUUUCCCAGUUAAAUAAAAACCGAUAAUUUCACAUGUGAAAUAAACGUGGUUAUUUCGCUCUCUGACGUCAUACAACAAUAGGUGUUGUCAAGACGUCGAUAACAGCGGAUCAAAACAAAUUGUGAAUGCGUAGAAAAAAGAUAUAGUUCCUUACAUGUUUUACAUUAAUUUCUUUAAAAAAAGCCGUUUGGCAAUGUAAUAAAAAGAAUAACUAAUUAAAGAAUUCAAAUAUCGAAAAAUAUUCAAAUCGUCACCGAACAACACUGAUAAUUAACUCAUGCGCUAUGCGCAUUCGUUAAUUAAUGUGUUGUUGGGUCACUCGUUGAAUAUUUUUCUCUAUUUGAAUUCUUCGAUUAUUUAUUCUAUAGACAAUUUUAAAACCCAACUUAAAGUUGAAAUUUUUAAAUUUGAUUGCAUUGUCAAAACCAUGAUAUUAUAUCCUGAAACAAUAGUUCAUCUCAGCCAGGUUUGUUGUUUCAAUAGGGUUCUGAUUAUAUAGUAUCCAAUGUAACAGGGGUUCAGUUUAAACUGUACCAUGCAAUAAUCAAAGUAUUGUUAAUUUUUAUCUGGACUAUAAAUGAACAUCUGAAAACCAAGAAACCAUUUUAUUUUUAAAAAAAAAUCGAAAAUAUAUUGUCAACAGUAUAGUCAAGAGGUAAUAUUCAAAGGAAAAAAAAAUACAUAUGUGUCAGCAGUUUUUAUUUUAUGCACAAACUUGUUUUCUACAGGAUUUCAGUAUCAUUAUGAUCCAGUCAGAAUAUUUGUGUAAUGUGCAUUCACUGAAGUUAAAGUGUAUGUUUUUAGAUUUCACCUGUUUUUUAAAGUCCACUAUGUAUAUGAGUAUCAAAAUAGAAACGAUUGCAAAACAUAAAGUUAUUCACCAC
rnacentral:lncRNA from 1 species